CACGGGGGGAGCAAGCGUUGUUCGGAAUCACUGGGCGUAAAGGGCGUGUAGGCGGUUAGGUAAGUGGAAUGUGAAAUCCCCCGGCUUACCCGGGGACCUGCAUCCCAUACUGCCUAGCUUGAGUACGGGAGAGGAUGAGGGAAUUCCUGGUGUAGCGGUGAAAUGCGUAGAUAUCAGGAGGAACACCGGUGGCGAAGGCGCUCAUCUGGCCCGAUACUGACGCUGAUGCGCGAAAGCUAGGGGAGCAAACGGG
rnacentral:rRNA from 1 species